UUAAUAAUUGUUGUAUUUAUUGUUUAUAGUUGAGACUUGUGUUAUGUUUAUACCAUUACGAAAGAUGAACAAAUCUUCGCCAGAGAAAUGGAUGAAGGAAUAAUGAAUGGCGGAAGGUGUUGUGUAUGGCGGACACAAGUGAACAGUAAUACUACACCGUCACUAACAAAUUGGAGAUGUUACAACAAAACUUUGAAAAAUUAAACUGUACCAUAACAGCUGAAAAUGACCAAGUGGAGCCUGGAACAAGAGGUGCCACCACCAACACUGCACCAUCACCACCUAUGCCAAGGUGACAUGAUGCAACAUCUUCCCGAGGCAGUGGACCAGAAGGUAUGACACUGUAGACACUGGGAAGAAUACUUUCCUACCAUCACCAAGUGGCAUCAUCAACAUAACCAGCCAACUGAAGUUAACCAGAGAUGGACACAAACUUCACCUGCUGCUGUAUUGUUCUUUCUCCAUCACUGCCUUAAGUGGACCUGAAUUGAGCUGGACCUGAUGUGAACUAGACUAAAGUGAGCUGGACCUCAGGUGAACUGGAACUAAAGUUAACUAAACCUGAUGUUACUGCACCUGCAAGUAAAGUAGACCUAAAGGACUAUCUGGUAUUUAUUUAAUAUUGUUCUGGUUGUAAUAUUAGGAAGGUUCUA